GAGAACAAGGCUCCUGAGGGCAGAAAGAAGCUGCCCUAUCUCCCUGUGAGGAAGAGGUGGGAGGUGAAGGGUGAGGGUCAAUCUUUGUCUUCAGGUCUUCAACAGAGGGAGCAGGACCCGCCCACCUGGUGAGGUAAUUUGCUUUACUCAGCACUCAUCCACUGAUUCAGAUGUUACUCUUAUCAAAAAAUACUUUCCCAGAUACAUCUAGAAUAAUGGCUGAUCAAAUAUCUGGGUACCGUGGUCCAGCCAAAUUGAUGCAUAAAAUUAUCCUCCCACUUCCCCACCCCUGGCCCCUCCAAGGCCCUCCGGGGUUCUCCGGGAGUCUGGCUCUCCAUCUCCUCCUCUUUGCCCUCCGGCUUCCAGGCUGUGCGACCCUGAGGCUCUUCCCUGCCCUGUUCUACCCAAAGGGGCCUCAGGGGCUUGAAUUCCUCCUUCUUGGACCUUUUUCUCUUUCCAGUCAGUGGAUCCCAUCACUUUGAGGGCUCCUGGAAUGACAUUUUCCCCAAGAAGCCUCUCCUGUAUAAAACUGGGGGUUGUUGGCUGUGCCCAGAGGAUGGGGGUGGCUUCCUUGCCCUCUUCACCCCCCACACCCCUGCCCCCUUCCCCCUGCAUCACUGCCGGGCUGGACUGGGGGUGGGGGUUGGGGGAAUAUAAGCCCUGGAUUGGGCGCCCUUAUCUUGCUUUAAUUUCCUCUAGAGCUCAGCGCCAUGUGAGGUUAUAGUAGUGGCCGACCUUGUUUACUCUUUCCUACCGGAGUAUAAGCUCCAGGGGGCAGGGACUUCAUCCCCAGAGCCUAGCCCAGGACCUGCACACGGAGGCACUCAGGGUGUUUGUUGAUUGAAUGAAAAACGUUCACUGAACACCUCUGUUGUGCCGCACACACUGUGCCAGGGCGUGGACGAAAGCUCAGCUGCCCAGGCCAUUGACUAUUUCUGAGCAUUUCCACUCUCACGUUGUACACCCCUCAUUUCUCUCUUCCUGGAGGGGCUCCCUACCUGAGCGCGGGAAUCAUCUUCCUUCCUCUCUCCUGGAGUCUGCCUGACUUGGUGUCCCAAGACAGGGACUGGGUCCCCUUUGAGCCCCUGGA
rnacentral:lncRNA from 1 species